GAUGGGGAAUGUCGAUCAUGUCGGACGGUUGGAGUGCAUCAUUUCUCAUCCUUUUAGUCUUGGUACCAGUUGGAACCUCUCUUAAUUGUUACUUGUAAAGCACCUCUCUUAAUUGUUACUUGUCAUAUUUUUGCACCUUACUUAUAGAUCAUAGUGAUGCAGGUGCUCUGUCCAACUUGUCUGCUAUGGGGUGUAAACAAAACUAGAGUAUAUUUCAAUAGAUGCAUACCCUUAAGAGAAAUAGGCUGACUUUAGAUCGGCUACACAAGCUGGUUUACGUGCAUUACAAUUUGAAGUUGAGGUGAGAAUUACUCACUAUUGCAUAUUUAUAAAGGAUUUAGUCGAGGUACGGGUAGUGGAAGAGGAGGAGACAAUUCUUAUUAAGAAGACAUUUCUAGCUGCGAUUGGUAAGGAAAGAGAUGAAUAUGAAGGGUGGAGGAUGACAUGAGCUAUCAGGAGGAGGCCACAACAUGAGGAGCUAGAUGUAGAUGUGCAAGUUCCUGCAGAGGGAGUUGGGAGAGGAAAUCAG
rnacentral:lncRNA from 1 species